GUCUCGGUAGCUCAGUUGAAAGAGCUAUGGACUAGUGAUCCAGAGUUGCGAGUUCGAGUCUCGUCCGAGACA